ensembl:ribozyme RNaseP_nuc Nuclear RNase P
GGCAAAUGAACCUCAUCAGUGGGGCCACAUGCUGAGUGGUCAUCACUCCUGGACCCCUGGGAAGGUUUGACACUUGGACCCUCACAGAGUGGGGAGGUGAGUUCCCAGAGAUCAGAGCUCCACACAUGGGCAGACUGGACAGAAGAGACCCCAAGUGGGCAGAUGCCUCGUUUGCAGGAGCUUGGAACAGACUCACCACCAGUAGAGAGCCAGUUCAAUGGCUGGGGUGAGGUACCUCCUGGACCUCAUAAUCCAAUUCAAACAAUCAUGAAUUUC